AGAAAGAAAUUUAUGCCUCCAAUGUUUGCAAUAAAAAUUAGUCAAGUUGGGCACCUGGUUGUUAUUUUCUACCAAGUCUAUCAACUUGCGUGACCCCAAAUCUAGAAUCCAUAAUUAUAUUCCAUAUUUCUUAAACGUAUGUAAAUAUAGCUUAUGUGUACAUAAAUAUCAACUCCCUUACCAAAGCAUCGCCCAUUUCUACAUGGCAACCAGAACACAUACACACUCAAACUUGGUAUUAAAAUACCGCUCUUUCUACCUCUAAUCAACAAAAUCAAACAACUUAUCAACUACAAGGGCAGUGAAACCUACAAUCAAUCAAUCAAAAUUCUAGUCU
rnacentral:misc_RNA from 1 species